rnacentral:tRNA from 1 species
GCCGGGAUGGCGGAACUGGUAGACGCGGCGGACUCAAAAUCCGUUGCCCUUAUAAGGCGUGUGGGUUCGAUUCCCUCUCCCGGCACCA